GUAGGUGGUAAGGGAAGUAAGGCCACUGCCUGUGGCUCAACAAGAAAACCAGAGUCAAGGUUCCACACAAGGUGGAAGUUGAGAAUAUGCUCGUAAAAGGAUGGUCCCCUUUGCACCUUACACACCAGAAGAUCAACAAGAUCCUCGGACUCUGAAUCACAAAAUGUGGCUUCUGAUCUGGCAUCUACAUCACGGAGAAACUAAAUGCAGAUUCUCAGGAUCCUCUGUAGAUGUACUCAACCAACCCAGAAACCCAACUUGGAGAACCAUGGAUAUAGAGGACAAACUUUUAUAGUGUUCUAGGUAAAAGUAAAUAGACUACUACAGUAGCCUCCAUAUCCAGUUUUACAGGUUCGCAAGCGACCACCUUCUGAAAAUAUUUGAAGGUAAGUUUCAGAAACAAACAAUUCAUGUUUUAAAUAACUGUUAUUGCAGUGAAUUGUUA
rnacentral:lncRNA from 1 species